ensembl:miRNA microRNA 101-1
GGCUGCCCUGGCUCAGUUAUCACAGUGCUGAUGCUGUGUGCUCCAAAGGUACAGUACUGUGAUAACUGAAGGAUGGCAGCCA